rnacentral:rRNA from 1 species
UACCGGCGGCUCGAGUGGUGGCCGAUAUUAUUGAGUCUAAAGGGUCCGUAGCCGGCUUUGCAAGUCCCCCGGGAAAUCCAGCGGCUUAACCGUUGGGCUUCCGUGGGAAACUACAUUGCUUGGGACUGGGAGAGGUAGGAGGUACUCGGGGGGUAGGGGUGAAAUCCUGUAAUCCUCCGGGGACCACCGGUGGCGAAGGCGUCCUACCAGAACAGGUCCGACGGUGAGGGACGUAAGCUAGGGGC